AAUUCGCCCUUAGAGUUUGAUCCUGGCUCAGGAUGAACGCUAGCUACAGGCUUAACACAUGCAAGUCGAGGGGCAGCAUGAACUUAGCUUGCUAAGUUUGAUGGCGACCGGCGCACGGGUGAGUAACACGUAUCCAACCUUCCGUUUACUCAGGGAUAGCCUUUCGAAAGAAAGAUUAAUACCUGAUAGUAUGGUGAGAUUGCAUGAUAGCACCAUUAAAGAUUUAUUGGUAAACGAUGGGGAUGCGUUCCAUUAGGUAGUAGGCGGGGUAACGGCCCACCUAGCCGACGAUGGAUAGGGGUUCUGAGAGGAAGGUCCCCCACAUUGGAACUGAGACACGGUCCAAACUCCUACGGGAGGCAGCAGUGAGGAAUAUUGGUCAAUGGGCGAGAGCCUGAACCAGCCAAGUAGCGUGAAGGAUGAAGGUCCUACGGAUUGUAAACUUCUUUUAUACGGGAAUAAAGUAUCCUACGUGUAGGAUUUUGUAUGUACCGUAUGAAUAAGCAUCGGCUAACUCCGUGCCAGCAGCCGCGGUAAUACGGAGGAUGCGAGCGUUAUCCGGAUUUAUUGGGUUUAAAGGGAGCGCAGACGGGAGAUUAAGUCAGUUGUGAAAGUUUGCGGCUCAACCGUAAAAUUGCAGUUGAUACUGGUUUCCUUGAGUGCAGUUGAGGCAGGCGGAAUUCGUGGUGUAGCGGUGAAAUGCUUAGAUAUCACGAAGAACCCCGAUUGCGAAGGCAGCUUGCUAAACUGUAACUGACGUUCAUGCUCGAAAGUGUGGGUAUCAAACAGGAUUAGAUACCCUGGUAGUCCACACGGUAAACGAUGGAUACUCGCUGUUGGCGAUAUACUGUCAGCGGCCAAGCGAAAGCAUUAAGUAUCCCACCUGGGGAGUACGCCGGCAACGGUGAAACUCAACAGGUA
rnacentral:rRNA from 1 species